ensembl:lncRNA
AGCAACCCUAAUUUGUAGGAUUUCAGAACCCUUAUUAGUUAUUAGACAUAUUGACCCAGCAGAAGAAAACACAUAUUUAGCACGAGCAGACAUUUGUAACGGUGCUAAAAUCAUGACAGAGUGGCUGCCCCCUGUGUCACCCAGGAUAACAGGACCUCCUGGACCAAAUGGCCUGGUGAAACAUGGCAGACACAGAAUGCAGACAUUCAAAACCCAGUGGCUCAGAUGGAAGUGAUUACGCUGCACAGGGAGGGAGAAAUUACAGAGAGAACCUACAGAGCUCCAGCCCUUCUCCUUUAUCCACUCACUCAUUCACUCACUUACACAUACAGGCACGCAAUCACAUGCACAGGAACACAUGCCCUGCCGCCAGUUCCACCACCUUGCUUCUGGUGGUACAUUUCCACUCCUGGCUGUGUCAGGACAAUGCGCCAGUGUGCUCCCCUCCUUCUCCUGCCUCCCCUUUCGUGGGCCAAGUGAGUGAGCGAGCGGUGAGGGCCAGGGUUGUAAAUUCCUCCGAAAGAGCAGUUAAGAAGGCUCCCAUUAAAACGGGGAUCGACGCUCGCCAUAAAGGAGCCGAAGAAAUGAGUCAUCACCUGGAGCCUGAAGGGUUCCAGAGCCUGCAGAACCACAGAGGAGAGGAACUGUAGAAAUAGAACGGAUAGAACAUACUGUAUCUUUCAUUUCAGAUGUAUACAACUUAGUCCAACUAAGUUGAGAUGCCAAAGAAGCAUUGUGAUUAGAUGACAUGAGCGUUAUAAUUGUGACAUAAAACAACAAUGUCA